CUUCAUGGAGGAUCAUCUCUUCGAUUGAGCAGAAGGAGGAGAGCAGGGGAAAUGAAGACCAUGUCUCAGUAAUUAAGGAGUACAGGAGCAAGAUUGAGAAUGAGCUCAGCAAGAUCUGUGAUGGGAUUCUUAGCCUCCUUGAGUCUCAUCUCAUUCCCUCUGCCUCAUCGGCUGAGUCUAAGGUGUUCUACCUGAAGAUGAAGGGUGAUUACCACAGGUAUCUGGCUGAGUUCAAGACUGGAGCUGAGAGGAAGGAAGCUGCGGAGAGCACUUUGUUGGCCUACAAGUCAGCUCAGG
rnacentral:lncRNA from 1 species